AUACUUACCUAGAUGGGGUCAAUGGAUGAUCAUUAUGAUCCAUGCUAGAUUUAUGACCUCCAUUGCACUUGGGAGGGGUGUUAGUCUAGGGUCUUCUUAGGUAGGAGAGUCUACAUCAUAAUUUGUGGUAGUAGGGACCUACGUUCACACAACCCUUUU
rfam:Cajanus cajan CcLG07_120, whole genome shotgun sequence.